CCUCGGGUGGCAGCAGUAAGGAAUAUUGGUCAAUGGGCGGAAGCCUGAACCAGCCAUGCCGCGUGCAGGAAGACGGCCUACGGGUUGUAAACUGCUUUUGUACCAGAAUAUGUAUGGUAAGAAUAAGGAUCGGCUAACUCCGUGCCAGCAGCCGCGGUAAUACGGAGGAUCCAAGCGUUAUCCGGAUUUAUUGGGUUUAAAGGGUGCGUAGGCGGCUUGUUAAGUCAGGGGUGAAAGACGGUAGCUCAACUAUCGCAGUGCCUUUGAUACUGACGAGCUUGAAUGUACUUGAGGUAGGCGGAAUGUGACAAGUAGCGGUGAAAUGCAUAGAUAUGUCACAGAACACCAAUUGCGAAGGCAGCUUACUAAGUUGAUUGACGCUGAGGCACGAAAGCGUGGGGAUCAAACAGGAUUAGAUACCCUAGUAGUC
rnacentral:rRNA from 1 species